ACAGAUUUGGAUUUGGCUUGCUUGAUGCUGGACGAUUAAUGAAGGAAGCCCUAACUGGACAAAUGUUGGUCUCCUGAGACACUGUGUUGUUGAUAACAGAAAAAGACUGCAAAAUCAGACGUGGAUGUUCAUCUUCAAAGAACUCUAGUUACCAAGUGACAAACAGCUAAUUUUGAUGGUGUGACUGACCACCCUCUCAGCAUCCACUCCUUGUUGAAAUGGCAAAGGAAUGCUGUAUCUGUAGAUAAGAACAAGCUUGUUAACUGUGAAUGUGGAGAGAUGAAGCAAGCAAAAACAAAGAGAAGUGUGAACAGCUUUGCUGGCAUUAUUGUCUAUGACACUGUAUUAGGUCCCAAUUUAGGAUCAAUGAGUGAAUAGGUGGUGUACAAGACUGCUACUUUGUAGAAGACAUGAGCAAUGUCUGGAAUAGCUGCUCUGUCUUCCAGUCCUUUGUUUACCCAAGGCAAGGGAAAGCACUUGAUCCAGGAGCCAGCAACAUAUCUUACCUUUCUUCAGGCCUGACUGUGAUGGACUGAUAUAGACAUGAGUUGUAUCAUCAGAGUGAUAUCAAGUCUGUCAUCAUAAAAUGGACUUUAUCAGUGCUAAGUGCUGGUAUUAAAUACUAGAAGUGGGAGAGGCUUGGAAAGCAUUGGGAGGAAAAAAAAAUGAAUUUGCAUUUCAUGUAAGUUUGUUUCUUUAAACAAAUAAUAAUAGAGACAGACAGGGACUAAAAGAGGAAGGAGGAGAAGUAAACAGGGGAAAAAGUGACAUAUAUAUAUAUUUAUUUUUUUAUUUAUUUAAUAUUUCCUUUAACUGAGGUCAGAGGUGGAGAUUAUAUUUGACCAAACACCCAAAUCCUCCACCACAGGUGAGGUCUGAGACACAACUGACAUUUUUUCCUCCAGUUCUCUCCAUAGAAUUGAGCCAGUUUUUCCCUUUGUGUUAAAUAUUUUAUUAACAUCAUUAAUAAAACCAUUUGCUUAGUGUAUUAUAUGUGAUUCUGUGAACACUGUAAUAUUUUGUUGUAAACAUAUAAAUAGAAUAUUCAUUUGUCUUGUACAAGUUCCCAAUGUACUUUAUAAUAAACCAAGUAAUUUUGACAGGAAAAAAAAAUGUUGACCAACCCCAACCUAACAAGAUUCAAACAAUGAGCUCAGCACUGGCACAAAUCCCAUCCAUUAAAAAAAGUCAGUAGUAUUACAUUUUCUUUUAUAAUUUGGAGGACAAUGACGGAAAUGCAAGAGAUGUAGCAAUAAGGACCAUGUGGUCCCUCCUCUUCAAGGGUCUCAUACAGAGCCUAUUAAGUUAACGUACAUACUCCCUUUGAUUUUAAUAGGCUUUGCAUAACUCAGAAAUUAUUGAAAAUGAAUAGCUGAA